UACCAAAAAAGCCAAGCACAGCUUGGUUUCAACUCUCUCUAAUGGAGAGCAAAGAGAUAUCGAAUAAAAGCAGCGAUGUUUCCAGGAAUGUUCAUGCGCAAACUAGACAAGCGGUGGCCUUGAAGCAGCUGAAGGCAUAUGUGGCUGUGUUGGCGUCUGGGUAGCUCUGGUUUGUGUCACUCCUUACAUUUUUCAUUACCUCUCUCAAAAGCCUUGUCCCCUACUCCAUUUUGAGGUUGAAAGAAGGCAUUUGGAGGCUGGAAAAUGAAUCCUAAGCUUGGUGGGUAUUGGUGCUUGAAUGUGGCUGGGGAUUUGAGAUUUGAAAGCGCCAAACUAACAUCUAAGAGAUGAUGAUUGGUCCGUUGAAGAGAAGAGCAGCACUCUUUCUUUCCCAUCAUACGAAGAUAGGGAUAUAAUAUUGACCGAUCAGACUAGACGAUCCAGCUAUGAGUAAUUUGGCUGCUUCAUAUGACUCAAAAGCUGUAUCUAGGGCAUUAUUUCUUCAUUUUAAGAAGCACCUCCAAACCAAAAUACAUUAUGUCAUUUUACAAGAAAUGCUAAAGCUAAGACUUUGGGUGCCUUCUUCAUUAUGUCAUGUAAAAAGUUUCAUGUUACUUCCUAAUCAAAUGGUUUUGUCUACAAA
rnacentral:sRNA from 1 species